UAAUUUUUUUUAAUUAUUUUUGUCUCAUUUUUGUAUAAUAAAAAACUUGUUGAUUUCGUGUAACAUCUUACUGCCUUUCUACUACAUAUUCGUCUACUUAUAAAAUACUUAAAACACACACGUGUUAAAAACUCUAAGAAAAUAUAGAAAACAGUAACGGUUUGCAUUCUGAAGUUUUGAAAAUGCAACUUAACAGUAGUACAGUACGGGCAAGAAUAGUAAGCUGCAAGACACUGAAUAACCUUACAAUUUUACCACAAUUUUGUAUGACGUCAUACAUAGCGAUAAAUAAAAUAUUUUCAAAUUUUACAAUUUCAAAAUAAUUUUAGAAAAUAAUUUAAACAACACUUAACAGCCAAAAAUUACUUUAUCUUUGUUAAAAUACUUGUAUUUCAUAUGACAUAUCCCUUAUAAACGGAUACUAAUAAGACCAGCCUUUUUGUCUGGUUCAUAGAGCUGCCUGCUUAAUAAAGUUGUCCGCUUAAUUGAUUGUCCUUAAACAAACAUCAAAAAAUGUUGGGACAAGUCAAUGUGAACGUUAAUGGAAAUGUCCGUUUAUUAGAGCGUCCGUUUAAAAGAACUUUCAUUAUAUUACCUUUGAAAUCCAUAGUUUUGGCAUCAAAUUUUUACCGUUCGAACCCCUCUACAAUGCUUUUUUCCUUUAUAAGUCAUGCCUUAAAAAAAACUUUUUUUUAAUUUAUAAAUCUUCUGAAAUUACAUAUUUUAGGACUGACUUCAAGUUUUAUAUACAACUUUCUUUGUUGCGAGACCUAUAAAAAUAAAAUAAAAAUGCCUCGAAUUCAAGUUAUAAAAGAGAGUUAUGUCAUAUACAUAUGUAGAUCGCAUCGUACUGAAGGAUCGUUUCUAAGAGUUAUUUUAAAUUUUGAAGUGACAGUCAAGUUAAGGAGUUAUUUGGGUUUUGGAAUUUCAAAAAAUACGAUGAUAUACCCAGACGCGUAGUCCCUUAAAAGGUCAUAAGUCGUCAAAAGUAAAUACUGUCAAUUUAAGCUACUCUGACCAACUUACACCAAACUUAACACCGGCUUUCGAACACCGGCCUCGAAAAAUACCUUAGAAAGAGAAUUCGGAAAUUUUGGUAGCUUACAGACUUCGAAAAAUGCCUUAGAAAGUGAAUUUGCAUAUUUUUGCAGCUUACAGACAGUAGAAAUGUCUAGAAUCUUAGUAAAAAUCAAAACACUAAAAUUAGGUUAAGUCGACUUAAGCGGCUUUAACAUUUUGCCAGAGUUUCAUAUUGGCACAAAAACGUGAUUUUAGUCGACAAAGAGUUCCACAUAAACAUAUGCUAACAACAACAAUUAUUCUAACAUAAUAAUACAA